rnacentral:piRNA from 1 species
UGCGUAUAUUUCACGAGGAGCGUAACGA